rnacentral:rRNA from 1 species
CUUACCAUGCAAGUCGAACGGAAAGGCCCUUCGGGGUACUCGAGUGGCGAACGGGUGAGUAACACGUGGGUGAUCUGCCCUGCACUUUGGGAUAAGCCUGGGAAACUGGGUCUAAUACCGAAUACACCCUGCUGGUCGCAUGGCCUGGUGGGGGAAAGCUUUUGCGGUGUGGGAUGGGCCCGCGGCCUAUCAGCUUGUUGGUGGGGUGAUGGCCUACCAAGGCGACGACGGGUAGCCGGCCUGAGAGGGUGUCCGGCCACACUGGGACUGAGAUACGGCCCAGACUCCUACGGGAGGCAGCAGUGGGGAAUAUUGCACAAUGGGCGCAAGCCUGAUGCAGCGACGCCGCGUGAGGGACGACGGCCUUCGGGUUGUAAACCUCUUUCAGCACAGACGAAGCGCAAGUGACGGUAUGUGCAGAAGAAGCACCGGCCAACUACGUGCCAGCAGCCGCGGUAAUACGUAGGGUGCGAGCGUUGUCCGGAAUUACUGGGCGUAAAGAGCUCGUAGGUGGUUUGUCGCGUUGUUCGUGAAAACUCACAGCUCAACUGUGGGCGUGCGGGCGAUACGGGCAGACUGGAGUACUGCAGGGGAGACUGGAAUUCCUGGUGUAGCGGUGGAAUGCGCAGAUAUCAGGAGGAACACCGGUGGCGAAGGCGGGUCUCUGGGCAGUAACUGACGCUGAGGAGCGAAAGCGUGGGGAGCGAACAGGAUUAGAUACCCUGGUAGUCCACGCCGUAAACGGUGGGUACUAGUGUGGGUUUCCUUCCUUGGGAUCCGUGCCGUAGCUAACGCAUAGUACCCGCUG